CUACGGGGUGCACCAGUGGGGAAUUUUGGACAAUGGGCGCAAGCCUGAUCCAGCCAUUCCGCGUGAGUGAAGAAGGCCUUCGGGUUGUAAAGCUCUUUCGCAAGGGAAGAAAACUUAUCCUCUAACGUAGGGUGAGGUUGACGGUACCUUGAUAAGAAGCACCGGCUAACUACGUGCCAGCAGCCGCGGUAAUACGUAGGGUGCGGGCGUUAAUCGGAAUUACUGGGCGUAAAGCGUGCGCAGGCUGUUUUGUAAGUCAGAUGUGAAAUCCCCGAGCUCAACUUGGGAACUGCGUUUGAAACUACAAGACUAGAAUAUGUCAGAGGGGGGUAGAAUUCCAUGUGUAGCAGUGAAAUGCGUAGAGAUGUGGAGGAAUACCAAUGGCGAAGGCAGCCCCCUGGGAUAAUAUUGACGCUCAUGCACGAAAGCGUGGGGAGCAAACAGGAUUAGAUACCCUCGUAGUC
rnacentral:rRNA from 1 species